GUCCACGCCGUAAACGAUGGAUACUAGGUGUAGGGGUAUCGACCCCCUGUGCCGGAGUUAACACAAUAAGUAUCCCACCUGGGGAGUACGGCCGCAAGGUUGAAACUCAAAGGAAUUGACGGGGCCCGCACAAGCAGUGGAGUAUGUGGUUUAAUUCGACGCAACGCGAAGAACCUUACCAGGACUUGACAUCCUCUGACGACGUAAGAGAUUACGUUUCCCUUCGGGGCAGAGAGACAGGUGGUGCAUGGUUGUCGU
rnacentral:rRNA from 1 species